ACGAGUUAUCUGAACCUUCGGGGAACGAUAACGGCGUCGAGCGGCGGACGGGUGAGUAAUGCCUAGGAAAUUGCCCUGAUGUGGGGGAUAACCAUUGGAAACGAUGGCUAAUACCGCAUGAUGCCUACGGGCCAAAGAGGGGGACCUUCGGGCCUCUCGCGUCAGGAUAUGCCUAGGUGGGAUUAGCUAGUUGGUGAGGUAAGGGCUCACCAAGGCGACGAUCCCUAGCUGGUCUGAGAGGAUGAUCAGCCACACUGGAACUGAGACACGGUCCAGACUCCUACGGGAGGCAGCAGUGGGGAAUAUUGCACAAUGGGCGCAAGCCUGAUGCAGCCAUGCCGCGUGUGUGAAGAAGGCCUUCGGGUUGUAAAGCACUUUCAGUCGUGAGGAAGGCGGUGUAGUUAAUAGCUGCAUCGUUUGACGUUAGCGACAGAAGAAGCACCGGCUAACUCCGUGCCAGCAGCCGCGGUAAUACGGAGGGUGCGAGCGUUAAUCGGAAUUACUGGGCGUAAAGCGCAUGCAGGUGGUUUGUUAAGUCAGAUGUGAAAGCCCGGGGCUCAACCUCGGAAUUGCAUUUGAAACUGGCAGACUAGAGUACUGUAGAGGGGGGUAGAAUUUCAGGUGUAGCGGUGAAAUGCGUAGAGAUCUGAAGGAAUACCGGUGGCGAAGGCGGCCCCCUGGACAGAUACUGACACUCAGAUGCGAAAGCGUGGGGAGCAAACAGGAUUAGAUACCCUGGUAGUCCACGCCGUAAACGAUGUCUACUUGGAGGUUGUGGCCUUGAGCCGUGGCUUUCGGAGCUAACGCGUUAAGUAGACCGCCUGGGGAGUACGGUCGCAAGAUUAAAACUCAAAUGAAUUGACGGGGGCCCGCACAAGCGGUGGAGCAUGUGGUUUAAUUCGAUGCAACGCGAAGAACCUUACCUACUCUUGACAUCCAGAGAACUUUCCAGAGAUGGAUUGGUGCCUUCGGGAACUCUGAGACAGGUGCUGCAUGGCUGUCGUCAGCUCGUGUUGUGAAAUGUUGGGUUAAGUCCCGCAACGAGCGCAACCCUUAUCCUUGUUUGCCAGCGAGUAAUGUCGGGAACUCCAGGGAGACUGCCGGUGAUAAACCGGAGGAAGGUGGGGACGACGUCAAGUCAUCAUGGCCCUUACGAGUAGGGCUACACACGUGCUACAAUGGCGCAUACAGAGGGCAGCCAACUUGCGAAAGUGAGCGAAUCCCAAAAAGUGCGUCGUAGUCCGGAUUGGAGUCUGCAACUCGACUCCAUGAAGUCGGAAUCGCUAGUAAUCGUGGAUCAGAAUGCCACGGUGAAUACGUUCCCGGGCCUUGUACACACCGCCCGUCACACCAUGGGAGUGGGCUGCAAAAGAAGUAGGUAGUUUAACCUUCGGGGGGAC
rnacentral:rRNA from 1 species